rnacentral:rRNA from 1 species
GACAUGUAGGGUGGUAGCGAAGCGAAAGCCGAGCGGCCUUCGGGGAGCCUACACAGGUGCUGCAUGGCUGUCGUCAGCUCGUGCCGUGAGGUGUCGGGUUAGGUCCCGUAACGAGCGCAACCCUUACCCUUAGUUACAAGUGUCUAGGGGGACUGCCGGCGGUAAGCCGGAGGAAGGUGGGGAUGACGUCAAGUCAGCAUGGCCCAUAUGUCCAGGGCUACACACACGCUACAAUGGUUGGUACAAAGGGCAGCGAAACCGCGAGGUGGAGCGAAUCCCAACAAAGCCAAUCCUAGUUCGGAUUGCAGGCUGCAACUCGCCUGCAUGAAGCUGGAGUUGCUAGUAACCGCGCGUCAGCUAUAGUGCGGUGAAUACGUUCCCGGGGCUUGUACACACCGCCCGUCACGUCAUGGGAGUUGGUAACGCCUGAAGCUGGUAGCCUAGCUCGCAAGAGGGG